AACAUGCUCCUUAGAUCCAUCUUUGUGGAUAUCUCUUGUGCUGAGUUCUGCUUGUUAACUUUGGUUUUCAGUAGUUCCAGUCAAGUGGUGUUCAGCAACUUUUGGGUUGUACAGUCAGAGAUGCUUGAGUCAUUGGCAUGUGAGAGCAAUAUACCUGCACACUAGCCUUUUGUGUUCUGAUAUAAAUGACUGUAUACUUGCAUGUCGUUUCUCACUAUCAGAACCUGGCUGGUAGCAGACAUA
rnacentral:snoRNA from 1 species